rnacentral:rRNA from 1 species
UACGAGGGGAGCAAGCGUUGUUCGGAUUUACUGGGCGUAAAGGGCGCGUAGGCGGCCACGACAAGUCACUUGUGAAAUCUCCGGGCUUAACUCGGAACGGUCAAGUGAUACUGUCGGGCUAGAGUACAGAAGGGGCAACUGGAAUUCUCGGUGUAGCGGUGAAAUGCGUAGAUAUCGAGAGGAACACCUGCGGCGAAGGCGGGUUGCUGGGCUGAUACUGACGCUGAGACGCGAAAGCGUGGGGAGCGAACAGG